UACGGAGGGGGCUAGCGUUGUUCGGAAUUACUGGGCGUAAAGGGCAUGUAGGCGGAUCGGCCAGUCAGAGGUGAAAGCCCCGGGCUCAACCCGGGAAUAGCCUUUGAUACUGCCGAUCUAGAGUCCGGGAGAGGAUAGUGGAAUUCCCAGUGUAGAGGUGAAAUUCGUAGAUAUUGGGAAGAACACCAGUGGCGAAGGCGGCUAUCUGGACCGGUACUGACGCUAAGGUGCGAAAGCGUGGGGAGCAAACAGG
rnacentral:misc_RNA from 1 species